GAUGAACGCUGGCGGCGUGCCUAACACAUGCAAGUCGAACGAAAAGAUAAGAAGAUUGUUCUUUUGCCGUUGGCGGGGGACGGGUGAGUAACAAGUGGGUCGCCAACUUAUAAUUCGGGGAUAAUUACGGGGAGAAGGAGAUACUAAUGGAUCACAUGUGGAACCGCAGGGUUCUGAAGAGCAUGGUGGCUUUGCUGUCUGUAAUAGCUGGUCCCGCGCCGUAUUAGCUAGUUGGUAAGGUAACGGCUUACCAAGGCGACGAUACGUAGCUGACCUGAGAGGGUGAUCGGCCACACUGGAACUGAGACACGGUCCAGACUCCUACGGGAGGCAGCAGUAGGGAAUCUUCCGCAAUGGGCGAAAGCCUGACGGAGCAACACCGCGUGAGUGAUGAAGGGUUUCGGCUCGUAAAGCUCUGUUAUUAGGGAAGAACAACCGUGUAAUUAUCUGUGCACGUCUUGACGGUACCUAAUCAGAAAGCCACGGCUAACUACGUG
rnacentral:rRNA from 1 species